rnacentral:rRNA from 1 species
UACGUAGGGUGCAAGCGUUAAUCGGAAUUACUGGGCGUAAAGCGUGCGCAGGCGGUCUUGUAAGCCAGAUGUGAAAUCCCCGGGCUUAACCUGGGAAUGGCAUUUGGGACUGCAAGGCUUGAGUGCGGCAGAGGAGACUGGAAUUCCGCGUGUAGCAGUGAAAUGCGUAGAGAUGCGGAGGAACACCGAUGGCGAAGGCAGCCCCCUGGGCUAACACUGACGCUCAGGCACGAAAGCGUGGGGAGCAAACAGG